rnacentral:rRNA from 1 species
GACGAACGCUGGCGGCGCGCCUAACACAUGCAAGUCGAACGGAGCUGAGAGAAGCUUGCUUUUCUUAGCUUAGUGGCGAACGGGUGAGUAACGCGUGAGUAACCUGCCCUGGAGUGGGGGACAACAGUUGGAAACGACUGCUAAUACCGCAUAAGCCCACGAUCCGGCAUCGGAUUGAGGGAAAAGGAUUUAUUCGCUUCAGGAUGGACUCGCGUCCAAUUAGCUAGUUGGUGAGGUAACGGCCCACCAAGGCGACGAUUGGUAGCCGGACUGAGAGGUUGAACGGCAACAUUGGGACUGAGACACGGCCCAGACUCCUACGGGAGGCAGCAGUGGGGGAUAUUGCACAAUGGGGGAAACCCUGAUGCAGCGACGCCGCGUGGAGGAAGAAGGUUUUCGGAGUGUAAACUCCUGUCGUUAGGGACGAUAAUGACGGUACCUAACAAGAAAGCACCGGCUAACUACGUG